rnacentral:tRNA from 1 species
UGCCGGCGUGGUGGAACUGGCAGACACGUUGGACUCAAAAUCCAAUGCCCGCGAGGGCGUGCCGGUUCGAUUCCGGCCGUCGGUAU